rnacentral:rRNA from 1 species
UACGUAGGGUGCGAGCGUUGUCCGGAAUUAUUGGGCGUAAAGAGCUUGUAGGUGGUUUGUCGCGUCUGCUGUGAAAAUCCGAGGCUCAACCUCGGACUUGCAGUGGGUACGGGCAGACUAGAGUGUGGUAGGGGAUACUGGAAUUCCUGGUGUAGCGGUGAAAUGCGUAGAUAUCAGGAGGAAUACCUAUGGCGAAAGCAGGUAUCUGGGCCAUCACUGACGCUGAGCUGCGAAAGCUAGGGGAGCAAACAGG